AGAGUUUGAUCCUGGCUCAGAUUGAACGCUAGCGGGAUGCUUUACACAUGCAAGUCGAACGGCAGCACGAGAGAGCUUGCUCUCUUGGUGGCGAGUGGCGGACGGGUGAGUAAUAUAUCGGAACGUGCCCAGUAGCGGGGGAUAACUACUCGAAAGAGUGGCUAAUACCGCAUACGCCCUACGGGGGAAAGGGGGGGAUCGCAAGACCUCUCACUAUUGGAGCGGCCGAUAUCGGAUUAGCUAGUUGGUGGGGUAAAGGCUCACCAAGGCAACGAUCCGUAGCUGGUUUGAGAGGACGACCAGCCACACUGGGACUGAGACACGGCCCAGACUCCUACGGGAGGCAGCAGUGGGGAAUUUUGGACAAUGGGGGAAACCCUGAUCCAGCCAUCCCGCGUGUAUGAUGAAGGCCUUCGGGUUGUAAAGUACUUUUGGCAGAGAAGAAAAGGCAUCCCCUAAUACGGGAUGCUGCUGACGGUAUCUGCAGAAUAAGCACCGGCUAACUACGUGCCAGCAGCCGCGGUAAUACGUAGGGUGCAAGCGUUAAUCGGAAUUACUGGGCGUAAAGCGUGUGUAGGCGGUUCGGAAAGAAAGAUGUGAAAUCCCAGGGCUCAACCUUGGAACUGCAUUUUUAACUGCCGAGCUAGAGUAUGUCAGAGGGGGGUGGAAUUCCACGUGUAGCAGUGAAAUGCGUAGAUAUGUGGAGGAAUACCGAUGGCGAAGGCAGCCCCCUGGGAUAAUACUGACGCUCAGACACGAAAGCGUGGGAGCAAACAGGAUUAGAUACCCUGGUAGUCCACGCCCUAAACGAUGUCAACUAGCUGUUGGGGCCGUUAGGCCUUAGUAGCGCAGCUAACGCGUGAAGUUGACCGCCUGGGGAGUACGGUCGCAAGAUUAAAACUCAAAGGAAUUGACGGGGACCCGCACAAGCGGUGGAUGAUGUGGAUUAAUUCGAUGCAACGCGAAAAACCUUACCUACCCUUGACAUGUCUGGAAUGCCGAAGAGAUUUGGCAGUGCUCGCAAGAGAACCGGAACACAGGUGCUGCAUGGCUGUCGUCAGCUCGUGUCGUGAGAUGUUGGGUUAAGUCCCGCAACGAGCGCAACCCUUGUCAUUAGUUGCUACGCAAGAGCACUCUAAUGAGACUGCCGGUGACAAACCGGAGGAAGGUGGGGAUGACGUCAAGUCCUCAUGGCCCUUAUGGGUAGGGCUUCACACGUCAUACAAUGGUCGGGACAGAGGGUCGCCAACCCGCGAGGGGGAGCCAAUCUCAGAAACCCGAUCGUAGUCCGGAUCGCAGUCUGCAACUCGACUGCGUGAAGUCGGAAUCGCUAGUAAUCGCGGAUCAGAAUGUCGCGGUGAAUACGUUCCCGGGUCUUGCACUCACCGCCCGUCA
rnacentral:rRNA from 1 species